rnacentral:rRNA from 1 species
GUGUCUGGUGGGUAGUUUGACUGGGGCGGUCUCCUCCUAAAGAGUAACGGAGGAGCACGAAGGUUGGCUAAUCCUGGUCGGACAUCAGGAGGUUAGUGCAAUGGCAUAAGCCAGCUUGACUGCGAGCGUGACGGCGCGAGCAGGUGCGAAAGCAGGUCAUAGUGAUCCGGUGGUUCUGAAUGGAAGGGCCAUCGCUCAACGGAUAAAAGGUACUCCGGGGAUAACAGGCUGAUACCGCCCAAGAGUUCAUAUCGACGGCGGUGUUUGGCACCUCGAUGUCGGCUCAUCACAUCCUGGGGCUGAAGUAGGUCCCAAGGGUAUGGCUGUUCGCCAUUUAAAGUGGUACGCGAGCUGGGUUUAGAACGUCGUGAGACAGUUCGGUCCCUAUCUGCCGUGGGCGCUGGAGAACUGAGGGGGGCUGCUCCUAGUACGAGAGGACCGGAGUGGACGCAUCACUGGUGUUCGGGUUGUCAUGCCAAUGGCACUGCCCGGUAGCUAAAUGCGGAAGAGAUAAGUGCUGAAAGCAUCUAAGCACGAAACUUGCCCCG